AUGAUUAGAUUGCUUGUUGGUUUGUGCGGUGCAGAAACAGAAACUUUGGCUGUCGUGAAUUUUCAUUUUUUACUGGAAUAUCAAAUGUUUCUGAAACUUUUUGCACAGUCUUUCUAUACAAAUUUUUUAUGUUUUCCCAAUUUGGUAGAAUUUUUGGAGUACCAUAAGUAUGGUGGAUGUUCAGAAUGCUACAGACUGUCCUGUUUAAGACAUAUUCUAUUUUUGAUGCAUUGUUUGGCUUGUUUUGAUGAAACUAUCGAUUUGUAUUGGUGGUAUGAGCCAUGGAAAAGUUAUAUUACAAUAGCUACAGUUCAAAAACAAAAUAUUAAUUGGUUUGCAACAGUACUUAGAGUAGUGUUUUGCUUUAUUAUACUAACGGAUCUUACCAAGCUUUCUGUUGAGUUUUGUAUGGAUGAAGUGAUCAAAGAUCGAGGAGGUCUCGAUAUGAGGAGAAGGAGGAGAGUAAAGAGCUCAAGCUUGGGGAUUUCCAAGGCACCCCAAGUAAAUAUUCAAGGAGACUCAAGCGUCUAA
rnacentral:rRNA from 1 species